rnacentral:rRNA from 1 species
UGAAGGAACUAGGCAAAAUGGUGCCGUAACUUCGGGAGAAGGCACGCUGACACGUAGGUGAAGUGAUUUACUCACGGAGCUGAAGUCAGUCGAAGAUACCAGCUGGCUGCAACUGUUUAUUAAAAACACAGCACUGUGCAAACACGAAAGUGGACGUAUACGGUGUGACGCCUGCCCGGUGCCGGAAGGUUAAUUGAUGGGGUCAGCGCAAGCGAAGCUCCUGAUCGAAGCCCCGGUAAACGGCGGCCGUAACUAUAACGGUCCUAAGGUAGCGAAAUUCCUUGUCGGGUAAGUUCCGACCUGCACGAAUGGCGUAAUGAUGGCCAGGCUGUCUCCACCCGAGACUCAGUGAAAUUGAACUCGCUGUGAAGAUGCAGUGUACCCGCGGCAAGACGGAAAGACCCCGUGAACCUUUACUAUAGCUUGACACUGAACAUUGAGCCUUGAUGUGUAGGAUAGGUGGGAGGCUUUGAAGUGUGGACGCCAGUCUGCAUGGAGCCGACCUUGAAAUACCACCCUUUAAUGUUUGAUGUUCUAACGUGGACCCGUUACCCGGGUUGCGGACAGUGUCUGGUGGGUAGUUUGACUGGGGCGGUCUCCUCCUAAAGAGUAACGGAGGAGCACGAAGGUUGGCUAAUCCUGGUCGGACAUCAGGAGGUUAGUGCAAUGGCAUAAGCCAGCUUGACUGCGAGCGUGACGGCGCGAGCAGGUGCGAAAGCAGGUCAUAGUGAUCCGGUGGUUCUGAAUGGAAGGGCCAUCGCUCAACGGAUAAAAGGUACUCCGGGGAUAACAGGCUGAUACCGCCCAAGAGUUCAUAUCGACGGCGGUGUUUGGCACCUCGAUGUCGGCUCAUCACAUCCUGGGGCUGAAGUAGGUCCCAAGGGUAUGGCUGUUCGCCAUUUAAAGUGGUACGCGAGCUGGGUUUAGAACGUCGUGAGACAGUUCGGUCCCUAUCUGCCGUGGGCGCUGGAGAACUGAGGGGGGCUGCUCCUAGUACGAGAGGACCGGAGUGGACGCAUCACUGGUGUUCGGGUUGUCAUGCCAAUGGCACUGCCCGGUAGCUAAAUGCGGAAGAGAUAAGUGCUGAAAGCAUCUAAGCACGAAACUUGCCCCGAGAUGAGUUCUCCCUGAGACUUUAGGUCUCCUGAAGGAACGUUGAAGACGACGACGUUGAUAGGCCGGGUGUGUAAGCGCAGCGAUGCGUUGAGCUAACCGGUACUAAUGAACCGUGAGGCUUAACCUU